GAUGAACGCUAGCUACAGGCUUAACACAUGCAAGUCGAGGGGAAACGACAUCGCAAGCUUGCUUUUGAUGGGCGUCGACCGGCGCACGGGUGAGUAACGCGUAUCCAACCUGCCCACCACUUGGGGAUAACCUUGCGAAAGUAAGACUAAUGCCCAAUGACGUCUCUAGAAGACAUCUGAAAGAGAUUAAAGAUUUAUCGGUGAUGGAUGGGGAUGCGUCUGAUUAGCUUGUUGGCGGGGUAACGGCCCACCAAGGCGACGAUCAGUAGGGGUUCUGAGAGGAAGGUCCCCCACAUUGGAACUGAGACACGGUCCAAACUCCUACGGGAGGCAGCAGUGAGGAAUAUUGGUCAAUGGACGAGAGUCUGAACCAGCCAAGUAGCGUGCAGGAUGACGGCCCUAUGGGUUGUAAACUGCUUUUAUAAGGGAAUAAAGUGAGUCUCGUGAGACUUUUUGCAUGUACCUUAUGAAUAAGGACCGGCUAAUUCCGUG
rnacentral:rRNA from 1 species